GACGAACGCUGGCGGCGUGCCUAAUACAUGCAAGUCGUGCGAACGAAGAAGGUGCUCGCACCUUCCUAGUUAGCGGCGGAUGGGUGAGUAACACGUGGGCAACCUGCCCUGCAGAUGGGGGAUAACUCCGGGAAACCGGGCUAAUACCGAAUAAUUCUACACUUCUCAUGAAGAGUAGCUAAAAGACGGUUUCGGCUGUCAUUGCAGGAUGGGCCCGCGGCGCAUUAGCUAGUUGGUGGGGUAAAGGCUCACCAAGGCCACGAUGCGUAGCCGACCUGAGAGGUGAUCGGCCACACUGGGACUGAGACACGGCCCAGACUCCUACGGGAGGCAGCAGUACGGGAAUAUUGGACAAUGGGGGAACCUGAUCCAGCCAUGCCGCGUGUGUGAAGAAGCCUUAUGGUUGUAAAGCACUUUUAAGCGAGGAGGAGGCUCUCUUGGUUAAUACCCAAGAUGAGUGGACGUUACUCGGCAGAAUAAGCACCGGCUAACUCU
rnacentral:rRNA from 1 species